UCUUAUUAGAUGCAUUUUUGCAGUGAGCUAAUGACAUUACUUCAGAAAGUACUUAUACAUUUGAAAAUGUCCUACAAACAGUGGUGAUUUUCAUAAACAUUUACAAGGAUUUACAUACAGUUCCUGACCACCUAGAGGAUUUCUAAUUCAGCAAAGAGUGAGAAUCAUAGAAAAAAAUUUCACAAAGUAAUGUAAUUAUCUUCCAGAAAGGUUUCGCAUAGAAUAAUUCCUGACACAGGGACACCUAAUCUGUCUGUCUCUAACUGCAAACAUCUAUUCAGUGCCAGCUCUGUGCAUAGCUUUACCUGUCCCUUAAUUAAAAAUAUGGAAGGAAGAGACAAGAUCUCUACUGAGACAGAUGGGAAGAAAGAAGCAUACUCCAGCAGAACUUUAAGAAAAUAAUGAGCAACUUUAAAAGACUAGCAAGAUUGUGCAGUGGUGAAUAUGAAGAAGAUCUGCCGGAGCCAGGUCUUGGGGUGGCCGUAAGGAAAUCCAUGAGCCUUUACCACACACGCAGUGGUGAGUACCCAGUCGUAUUAGUUUCCUUCUCCGCCUUCACAGAAAUAUAUAUGUGUAUAUAUACAGUUUUCUUCAGUGGGACAUCUUCCACCUCCCGACCACCUCCUCAACUCUCUCCUGCCCAGCAGAGAAUUAAUCAUGGAGUAAGAAGGGGAAUGAAGAAGCAAGAUACUAUACAAAUCUAACAAAUUAAUAAAAGAAAGAAACUAAGCGUCCUGUUCAGAGGGAUGUUGCAGCAUCCAGGGCAAGGAGUUGAAGCCAGUUUGCGGACUGGGAGGGGGAGGGUGAGGCCAUCAACAGCGCUCAGGAAGUAUCCACGCGGAGGGAGGGCGGGCUCUGUGCUGGUCCUGAGAAGGAGGCAGGCAUGCGUGAGCCUUUACUCAAAAGGCAUUCACAAGACUAGGAAUGCGGUGAGAAGAGCGCUAAGCCGAGCCAGACUUGAGUC
rnacentral:lncRNA from 1 species